AUGGCGGCGAUAGGUUGUCACUUGGAACAAUAGUAUAAUACAUUUUUCUAGAAUGCUAAUUGUUAAACCUAAGAGCUGAACAAAAAAGUAUAAGAGUGGAAUUGUUAUUUUUUAAGUUUAUUCAAGAAUUAUCAAAAGGAACUGAAAAUUUUAGAAAGAUGAUGCAAUUUAUGCUGUUGUUUAGUCGACAAGGAAAGUUGCGACUACAGAAGUGGUAUGUUGCGCAUCCUGAUAAAUUGAAAAAGAAAAUCACGCGUGAACUCAUUACAACUAUUCUUGCCAGAAAGCCGAAGAUGUCGAGCUUUCUCGAGUGGAAGGAUGUAAAAGUGGUUUAUAAAAGAUACGCUAGUUUAUAUUUCUGCUGUGCUAUCGAGCAAAAUGAUAAUGAAUUGCUCACGCUCGAAAUCAUACAUCGAUAUGUAGAACUAUUGGACAAAUACUUUGGCAGUGUUUGUGAACUGGAUAUCAUUUUCAACUUUGAAAAGGCAUAUUUUAUCCUGGAUGAACUAUUGGUGGGUGGUGAGAUACAAGAGACAAGCAAAAAAAAUGUGCUGAAAGCCAUUGCUGCACAGGAUCUGCUGCAGGAGGAAGAAACUCCUCAAGGAUUUUUCGAAGACCACGGAUUAGGAUAAUCCUUUCCAGCAGCAUACCGGCCGCACUUUUCCUUACUUCCUUUUCUUUGUCCCUGACCCUUGGCGUGAGGGUUACACCCGAAAGAGACUAUAAAAGGUUUUAAUUCUGGACCAAUGUACUCUACGUCCUCGUGGCGGUGGAAGAAAUGGCCUUUAUAAUUAUGUACUUACAGCAAGCACCGUUUCUUGCGGUAUUUUAGUUUAAGUGAAUUUUUCUCUGAUUUCCCACAAAUGUUCUGAUGAGAACUAAUGUAAACCGUAUACGUACACUUGGGACGUUGUAUUGGCUCUUGAAAGAUUAUUAUCGCGAUUAAUAGGUUUAUCAAAGCACUAGUGAUAUAUACAUAUAUUUUUACAUCACAUUUUCAACCAUUGGACUCUGGCAGGAGUGAGAGGAAUCUAGCGUGUUACACUUGUUACUGCUGAAGUAGGGUUUAAAUUAAUCGAAUGUUUAACCAUUCCACUGCCCUUGGGAGGGAGGAAUAGCCAGUGAUGAGUUCUUCGAAUUUAAUAGAGUAAUGGAUUUUCUUCAUGUUUGCACCACGCGAUGGUGCUAAUAGGCGGUCGUAUAAAUAAUUCUUACAAAUAUCUAGAUAUUCAAGCAGGCUCAGUGUCUGAGAAAAGCGAAUAACCUUUCAUUUUAUCUCGUCGUAUCGAUACCCCGAUGAAUUAAUAUUAGGCUGUAAUCAGACGUAAUAUCGUUAUAUUUUUAAGGAAGCUCGAAAUGUCCAUGGUAAUAAGGUCUCCCGGUACUUAAUAUUUACAGAUUGAAGCAGAUUCUUAACAGGUUUGCAUCGCAUUUAAUAGCGUUAUUUUUUUUUUUUUUACUAUCGUGUAUAUGCGAUCCUAAUCUUAUAUCUGCACAACUGACAAUUUUUUUUUUGAUGAUGCGACUGCGAGCAGGGCAGCAUUAAUCAAAAUGUAUAAGGCGUUAAGUACGUGUAUAAGUUUAACUAAUGACUGUAAAAUAAUGUCACCUUACACACGUGCGUUCGUUACAAUGGCAACUAAUACAGCUGCACGGAUACAUAUUUCACGAUUUCCUCGCCUCCGUAACUUGACAUGUUAUUGCACUUAUAUUUACUACUCUACGAAUUUAUUCAUCUUUUUUUAGAAUUAGCUACUAGUAGGCUUGAAAGAAAUUGCAUUUAUUCUUAAAGUCGACGUUGAAAGUUUUAACGUACGAAGUUAAAAUCGAACGUCGCAUCGAAGACCGCGCUUCAAACUCCGUCCAUGAGAACCUAUCUAGUGUAAUAUCAAUUGCCACUAACUACACCGAGUACAUUCUUUACAACGUUAUGCUACGUUAUCGUCAAUUAUGCACCUCGUUAACGUGCACCCUUCGCUAACUCACUAGGCAUUAAUGCUAUACAUCAAGAUAUAUAUACACAUAUGCUGUAACAGUGUACACGGUAUGGAGUAAAAUAUAAAUUAUCGGCGAGUUUUAAACCAUA
rnacentral:misc_RNA from 1 species